rnacentral:rRNA from 1 species
GGGUGAGUAACGCGUGGGAACAUGCCCUUUGGUUCGGAAUAACUCAGGGAAACUUGAGCUAAUACCGGAUAAGCCCGAGAGGGGAAAGAUUUAUCGCCGAAGGAUUGGCCCGCGUCCGAUUAGCUAGUUGGUGAGGUAAUGGCUCACCAAGGCGACGAUCGGUAGCUGGUCUGAGAGGAUGAUCAGCCACACUGGGACUGAGACACGGCCCAGACUCCUACGGGAGGCAGCAGUGGGGAAUAUUGGACAAUGGGCGCAAGCCUGAUCCAGCCAUGCCGCGUGAGUGAUGAAGGCCCUAGGGUUGUAAAGCUCCUUCGCCAGGGACGAUAAUGACGGUACCUGGAUAAGAAGCCCCGGCUAACUUCGUGCCAGCAGCCGCGGUAAUACGAAGGGGGCUAGCGUUGUUCGGAAUCACUGGGCGUAAAGCGCACGUAGGCGGAUCUUUAAGUCAGAGGUGAAAUCCCAAGGCUCAACCUUGGAACUGCCUUUGAUACUGGAGAUCUUGAGUCCGGGAGAGGUGAGUGGAACUGC